UGCGCAGGCGGUCUUGCAAGUCAGAUGUGAAAGCCCCGGGCUUAACCUGGGAAUUGCGUUUGAAACUACAAGGCUAGAGUGCAGCAGAGGGGAGUGGAAUUCCAUGUGUAGCAGUGAAAUGCGUAGAGAUGUGGAAGAACACCGAUGGCGAAGGCAGCUCCCUGGGUUGACACUGACGCUCAUGCACGAAAGGCGUGGGGAGCAAACA
rnacentral:rRNA from 1 species